CCCACAAUAUUCUCAGUGAGGCACACAGCAGCGUGUGUAUGGUGUGAAGAGCACUCUCCUCCUCAGAGCCUGCUACCUCCUCAUUUCAUUUUAAGACCGCUUAUUUUUUUUAACCAGGAGAGACAAUGAAUAUUUGUUGCCAACUCACUUUCACAACACCUAGGAUUUCACAGACCGCCACCAAAUCCUCUCCCUUCUCCCAUUUGUUGUAGCAUCAUUGGAAGUCCAAGUUAUCCAACUGCAGCUUGCUGGAAGCUGUUCCCAUACCUCUGAGUAUCUCUGUCAUUCAUCACUGCGUCUCUCCAAUCCUGCCAAUAUUCCACUUGAAUGGAGGAAGCCAGAACUGUGCAUGUGUCCAGCUGCUCAUUACUGAGACAUCCUUCUGGGACUCCACACAGCUGGCCUCAUCUUUACCACUUCAAACAAAGCUUUCUCAGUGUAUCUUAAGCUGAUUCAAGACAUACCCAAGGACAGACAAUGAGAAGAUGCAGAAGUGGUCUUGUACAAGCUUACUCUGACCAACUGGCAAGUACUCAGCACUGAAUAGUUGCCCAAACACCUCUGCUGGACUCUCUGGACUGAAUGCACCCCAGCUCAUCCUGUCCUCUGGUACCUGACCAAGAAAGACCAUCUAAGGACUCUAAUUCUCCUACCAGAGCAUCUUCUGUAUUCCUUGGUGUUGUUAUCUGGAGCUCAGCUGCCGAAAAGCUUGGAGGACUUUUCUUAGACAAGGGAAUAUCUUUUUACAAUAGCCUUUCUCAAAUCGCAUUACAUACAGACAUAAACCCCAAAAUAAAUGUGAAAGGGGAAAAAGCAAAGGCUGGAUGAGAGGAAAGAGAGCUGCACCCACAGCAGCUGAUGAAGGUUAAGCAUCAUGUGAGCAGAGACCAUCUCUCUGUUGUGUGUUUAUACACUGAUUAGUGCAAAUAACCCCUGGUCCACCACCACAAUCCCAAAGUACCACUACAACAUGCAGACAACCUGUAACCAGUCACAGACUUUUAAAGAUGUGUCUGCCAGCGUUGCACGCUUCUCUUGUUACUUUCUUUAUAAUAAACAGUCUUUAAAUGAACAUGCUGGCGUUUGUUCUCCUAAGACCAAAAUGCAAACCUCUAUGAAAUGAUAAAACAGGUGAAUGACUUGAACAAGAACCAAAGAGAAUGAGGUGCACAAUACAUACAUCACUGAGAGUUAAAAUACCUGGGCUGCUCACACCUGACAAACCUCUAGAUGCUUUUCUGCAUGAGGCAUUUUGGCAGAUGCUACCAAUUUACAGUGGAGUGCUGCUACCAUAUAGUCCAAUGCUGCUCCCGUUCUCCUGAGUGCUUUUAAGUGCUCAGGGUGAUAAUGGAUCUAUUCACAUGGUUAGGGACUGUGGACUCAGGCCUGCAGCUCCACGUUCCCCAGAACAAUGCCUGAAUGUUUAUCCUUGACCAAGGUGUCCUUAAAUUUCACAUAUGUGAUUUGAAAAGAAGACUUUGCCUGGAAGAUGUAUCUGUAAGCUGCCCAGCUGUUCCCUAACCCAGCUAUUACCCAUGUAAGCACCCAUGAUUUUGAUAUCUGACUUAGUUCAACCCUCUGCAUCCCGUAAGAUGUGCCAAGGAAAAAAUGAGAGAUACACACAAUUUCCCAUCUCCAGCAUUCCUUUCACUCUCCAGAUAUUACUUGUCACCUCUGCAGUCUUUAACACCUUGAAUCACCAGCUCCCUCUUCUGCACAUAGUGAAAUCCCUGCGCAAGCAUGCCAAGGGAGCAUGCACACACUGCAGAAGAUGUUGAGCUCACCUGUGCAAGACCCCAGGUGGCAGAGAAGAGGGUCAAGGUGGGAAAAGAGCACAAUUGGAGAAUUUGCUGUAAUGUAAGAUGCUCCUGUCAUUCCCCAUAGCUGCAGCAGUCAGCAGCAGACAACGCUAAAUGCGCUGGGCUACAAGUGGACCACAUGAGGGUACUGUAUGGGCUCUGUGCAUGCAGGGGUGGGAAAUGGAGAUGGAUUCUGCCCACUGACUCUCUGCCUUACAAUAAAUGACUGCCCGCCGUAGCAGCUUGAGCUUGGUAUUUAAAUGUCUUGAAUCACUGUUACAUCUGAAAUCCCCACGAUACUUUGAAGAAGUAAAUCACUCUCUAGAUAGGAUACAUACGAGAAAACACAAGGGCUAUUUCCUCACCCUCCAGAAAGAGAGACAGCAGUUUUAGUUUUCACCUAGUGAAGGACUUAUUGAGCAUCUCGCUCAGGCAGCAUGUUUCAGACAGAGACAAUCAGACCUCACAGCACUCCUCUGCAAUGUCUGCAGAAGUUAUCAGUGAAAUGCUACUCCAGCAUGUGAGACAAGUGCUGGCUUUCUUCCUUCUUUUAAGCUUUUUUUCAAUUUCUGCUUCACUGAGUCUUCCUAUUCGCAUUCAUCACACUACUGGGCACUUUACAG
rnacentral:lncRNA from 1 species